CCUACGGGAGGCAGCAGUGGGGAAUAUUGGACAAUGGGCGAAAGCCUGAUCCAGCCAUGCCGCGUGUGUGAAGAAGGCCUUCGGGUUGUAAAGCACUUUCAGUGGGGAAGAAAGCCUUGGGGCUAAUACCCUCGAGGAAGGACAUCACCCACAGAAGAAGCACCGGCUAACUCCGUGCCAGCAGCCGCGGUAAUACGGAGGGUGCGAGCGUUAAUCGGAAUUACUGGGCGUAAAGCGCGCGUAGGCGGUCUGAUAAGCCGGUUGUGAAAGCCCCGGGCUCAACCUGGGAACGGCAUCCGGAACUGUCAGGCUAGAGUGCAGUAGAGGAAGGUAGAAUUCCCGGUGUAGCGGUGAAAUGCGUAGAGAUCGGGAAGAAUACCAGUGGCGAAGGCGGCCUUCUGGACUGACACUGACGCUGAGGUGCGAAAGCGUGGGUAGCAAACAGGAUUAGAUACCCCUGUAGUC
rnacentral:rRNA from 1 species